rnacentral:hammerhead_ribozyme from 1 species
ACCGGCUGACGAGUCCCAAAUAGGACGAAAUGCGCAUUGUCCUGGAU